UUGUGGCGCGUGUAUUUAACUAUUUAUUUGUGCCACAAUGAUGUUUUGCUACAAUUACUGAUAUAUUGACUCAUUGGUAUUGCUAGCUUAUUGCACAUUUAUUUUUCUACUAGAAGCGUUCCACGCGCUUCGCUGCGGCAUCUUGUGAAAGAUGCAGUGCUUCCAAGAUUUAUAUCAAAGAGAGGCACAAAGAUGCAGUGCUUCCAAGCUGAUAUGCAAUGCUUUAUAGUAUGCCUUAUACGGUUGAUAUUCUAAAGAUGCUUGUAAGGUGCCUUAUCUAUAUUAUUUUACUGAUGCUGACUAAUCAAAGACUGCCUACACAACUUGUCUUGUAUAAAUAAAAGAAAAAGUUGGCUCACUGACGCAUCAACUUCCUGAUGCAUAUACAGUGCAGGAGGAUGCAGAUAUGGGCACAACAAUGGAGCUAAUACUUCUACGAACAUGGUCAAUCCC